GAUCCUGGUUCAGGAUGAACGCUAGCUACAGGCUUAACACAUGCAAGUCGAGGGGCAGCAUGACGAUAGCUUGCUAUUGUUGAUGGCGACCGGCGCACGGGUGAGUAACGCGUAUCCAACCUUCCCGUUGCUAGGGGAUAACCUUGCGAAAGUAAGACUAAUACCCUAUGAAGUUCUUCGCAGGCAUCUAAAGAGAACGAAAGAUUUAUCGGCAACGGAGUGGGAUGCGUCUGAUUAGGUUGG
rnacentral:rRNA from 1 species